rnacentral:misc_RNA from 1 species
GGCGCGGUAAGGCUGGGGUAUCCUGGUGAGAACUGGAGAGGAUCUACCCGGGUCCCUGCCUGGCCAGUGGGGAAACACCGGUCCCCCAGGCACCUUCACCUAACCAGAGCGGGGAUUUCCACCGCCCCUCAUGCCGCCCUUUGGAGGAAAGUGAAAGUGAAAGGAGGAAGAGGAGGCUUCAUGGCUGAGGAGGUCGCAGCGCCAUGAAGUCCCUGUCUCUGCUCCUCGCUGUGGCUUUGGGCCUGGCGACCGCCGUCUCAGCAGGACCCGCGGUGAUCGAGUGUUGGUUCGUGGAGGAUGCGAGCGGAAAGGGCCUGGCCAAGAGACCCGGUGCACUGCUGUUGCGCCAGGGACCGGGGGAACCGCCGCCCCGGCCGGACCUCGACCCUGAGCUCUAUCUCAGUGUACACGACCCCGCGGGCGCCCUCCAGGCUGCCUUCAGGCGGUAUCCCCGGGGCGCCCCCGCACCACACUGCGAGAUGAGCCGCUUCGUGCCUCUCCCCGCCUCUGCGAAAUGGGCCAGCGGCCUGACCCCCGCGCAGAACUGCCCGCGGGCCCUGGAUGGGGCUUGGCUGAUGGUCAGCAUAUCCAGCCCACAUGGGGCACGCUAUGCCUGUCGAAUUCACCAUCCCAGCCUGCCUGCCUCGGGGCGCAGCGCUGAGGUCACCCUGGAGGUAGCAGGUCUUUCAGGGCCCUCCCUUGAGGACAGCGUAGGCCUUUUCCUGUCUGCCUUUCUUCUGCUUGGGCUCUUCAAGGCACUGGGCUGGGCUGCUGUCUACCUGUCCACCUGCAAGGAUUCAAAGAAGAAAGCAGAGUGAGGGCACUCACUGCCAUCCUGUGGAAGCCACCAUCAUCUCUGGCCCAAGCUUCUGUAGUAGCUCCCUAAAAUAAUACCCUAUCAUCUGCUCCUAAUCCCUCCAAUCUCUCUCCACUGAGUGGCUGGAAUGCUUUUUUUUUUUUCUUUCACUUAUAUAAGGGAUAAUUUUUCUUUUUUUUUUUUUUUGAGACGGAGUCUCACUCUUCCGCCCAGGCUGCAGUGCAGUGGCAUGAUCUUGGCUUACUGCAACCUCCGCCUCCUGGGUUCAAGCAAUUCUGUGGCUUCAGCCUCCGGAGUAGCUGGGAUUACAGGCACAUGCCACCACACCCAGUGAAUUUUUGUAUUUUUAGUAGAGACGGGGUUUCACCAUGUUGGCCAGGCUGGUCUUGAAUUCCUGACCUCAGGUGAUCUGCCCACCUCAGCCUCCCAAAGUGCUGGGAUUACAGGCGUGAGCCACCACACCAGGCCCGAGAAAUGCUUUUUUAAAAAACACACAUCUUAUGGCAUUCACCUUCUUGGAGCUCUAGGACAGUGGUUCUCAAAAUUUUUUUCUCUCAGGACCUCUUAAAAAUCAUCAAGGACCCCAAAAAGCUUUUGGGUAUGUGGGUUAUAGCUAUCAAUAUUUAUGGUACUAGAACUUAAAAGUGAGAAAAAUUUAAAACACGAGAAUACAUAGGCACACAUUCUAUUCAUCGUGGGAACCAUGGUGUCAAUACAUAUCAUGUAGCUUCUGAAAAACUCCACUGUACACUUAUAGAAUGAAGAAGGCAAAAAACUUUUUUUUUUUUUUUUUUGAGACGGAGUCUCGCUCUGUCGCCCAGGCUGGAGUGCAGUGGCGCGAUCUCGGCUCACUGCAAGCUCCGCCUCUCGGGUUCACGCCAUUCUCCUGCCUCAGCCUCCCAAGUAGCUCGGACUACAGGCGUCCUCCACCAUGCCUGGCUAAUAUUUUGUAUUUUUUAGUAGAGACGGGGUUUCACCGUGUUAGCCAGGAUGGUCUCGAUCUCCUAACCUGGUGAUCCGCCCGCCUCGGCCUCCCAAAGUAUUGGGAUUACCCGCGUGAGCCACCGCGCCCGGCUGCAAAUAAUCUUUCUUUUUUUCUUUUUUUCUGAGACAGAGUCUCGCUCUGUUGCCCAGGCUGGAGUGCAGUGGCACGAUCUCGGCUCACGGCACGCUCCGCCUCCCGGGUUCACGCCAUUCUCCUGCCUCAGCUUCCCGAGUAGCUGGGACUACAGGGGCCCGCCACCACGCCCGGCUAACUUUUUGUGUUUUUAGUAGAGACGGGGUUUCACCGUGUUAGCCAGGAUGGUCUCGAUCUCCUGACCUUGUGAUCUGCCCGCCUCGGCCUCCCAAAGUGCUGGGAUUACAGGCGUGAGCCACCGCGCCCGGCGGCGAAACACGAUAUUGUACUAACAUCUUAAUUUUGUUAUAAAAUCUCACAAACCCCCUGACAUAGUCUCAGAGAUCUGUAGGGCCGAGGUUACAUUUGGAGAACCCGUACUCUAGGGCCAAAUCCAUUCUUCUUGCCCUGGCUCACUUGUCCCCCCCACCGCCCCGCGCUGGAGCCACUGCCUAGUUCUUCAGCCCUAGAUGGUGCUCGCCAGACCUCCUCUCAAUGCUCAUCACACACAGGGCUAUUCCUUUCCUCCAAUGAACCAAACGCCUCCCGCCCACCUCCAGGUCCCAGUCCUCUGUUCCCUUUGCCUGGUCCACCCUUGCCCUCCCUGGGUCGCAGACGAGGUCGGCCUCGUCAUUCCCCGCAGACCGCCGCGCGUCCCUCUUGUGCGGUUCACCACAGUUGUAUUUAAGUGAUCGUGUGAGUCGUCGUUAAAUGCCUGUCUCCCCGCGGAUCAUGGGCUCCUCGAGGACAGGGACCGGCCUGUCUGUCCACUGCUGUAACCCCGCGCCGGCAUAGGGACCUAAGGCCCACUGGAGGGCGCUCAUCAAGUAGCUGCUGGAUGUUGACGAAGGAAGCGGCGGCGCAGCUCAGGGAUCUCCGAGUCAGGACGGUCGGCCAGACCCACGGGGUAACGGGUCUAAUCGUGUAGGAAUAAAGCUGUAUUCCAGUGCUUCCAAA